rnacentral:lncRNA from 1 species
CUGUGACCAAGGAGGAUUGCAGGGUGAAUAGACAGGGCCAGCUCCUGAGCUCACUGCUGUCCAGCCAGAGUCGGCUGACUCCUCUGCGGGCCUGUGAGGUGCUCUCUCUGCCUACCCUACAGUUCCCUACUGUAGUCUGCAGUGCACAGCCAGCCACUGAGGACUGGUCUGCGGUGCCCACACCUUACCACUGACCACUGAGCGGUCAAGGCUUUUCUGGGGACACUUGUGCAGAAUGGAAAGAAGGCAGAUGGGAAAGAGAAACGAGGAAGAGCCUUAAAAGGGGCUGUGACCUUUGGGAAGGAAGGCUGGACCACCCAAACAACCAAGCAGCUCUCUGAGAACUAGGCUGGGCUCAGGAAGAAGAGGAUGCCAGAUCAAGCCGGUCACUUCUCCAGCUGCCUCUGUACAGGCGAUCUUAUCACAAAAAGCCCGGUCACCACAGCUUCUCCAGUUCCAUCAUGGCUGACUCCUCCAGCCAGCUCGGAGAUCUGAGUGCGAGGAAGAAGACCAGAGUGUCAUGGUGGCUAAGGGGAGAAACCAGCAUAACUUGUCAGUCACUCUCAUGCGGUAGGCCCAUGCGUUUACCCCUGCUUUAAUUAAGCCUUUUGUGCCUAG